AGAUAGAUUGAUAUGUAUUGUUGUUAGGAUGUGUGUAAUAUAUACACGUAGCAAAAACAGGAGAUAAACAGUAAAUUGAGAGGAAGUGUAAUGAGAGAGGGUAGGAAAAUAAGGCAGGGAAGAGAGAGAGAGAAUGAUAGAUAGAUAGAGAGAGAGAGAGAGAAAGAAAGAAAGAAAAAGAGUCGUUUUCCACGUCGUGGCUCCGUGUGUCGGACGUGUGACAGUUGGAGCCACUAAAUAUUGACAUCAACUGCAGUUGUUAAAUAACUGCCGACCAGGGAUUAUUAUUUGAACAGUUACAGAUGAGUGUGAACCAAAAAAGAAUAUACACCAGAGUGAACAUUGAAGGAAGAAAUGUUGUGAACAAUUUAUAAUCUUCAGGAAGCAGUAAGUAUUCAUAACAUAAACACUUGCAAGUGCUACAGAUGAUUUCUUUUUAAAUAUUUCUUUUAAGUAGAUAAAACACAUUCAACACUAUCUUAUUCAAUGUUUUAUUAAUUUUCU